UACGUAGGGGGCAAGCGUUGUCCGGAAUCAUUGGGCGUAAAGCGUGCGCAGGCGGCUUACUAAGACAGGUGUGAAAGCCCCGAGCUUAACUUGGGAAUGGCGCUUGUGACUGGUAGGCUGGAGUGUGGCAGAGGGAGGUGGAAUUCCACGUGUAGCAGUGAAAUGCGUAGAGAUGUGGAGGAACACCGAUGGCGAAGGCAGCCUCCUGGGCCAGCACUGACGCUCAUGCACGAAAGCGUGGGGAGCAAACAGG
rnacentral:rRNA from 1 species